GCCAAGUAGCUCAGUUGGAUAGAGCGGUCGCCUACUAAGCGAUUGGUCCCGGGUUCGAAUCCCGGCUUGAAUGCA
rnacentral:tRNA from 2 species